rnacentral:rRNA from 1 species
AUUGAACGCUGGCGGCAUGCCUUACACAUGCAAGUCGAACGGCAGCACGGGGCAACCUGGUGGCGAGUGGCGAACGGGUGAGUAAUGCAUCGGAACGUGCCAUUGAGUGGGGGAUAACGUAGCGAAAGUUGCGCUAAUACCGCAUAUUCUGUGAGCAGGAAAGCAGGGGGACCGCAAGGCCUUGCGCUCUUUGAGCGGCCGAUGUCAGAUUAGCUAGUUGGUGAGGUAACGGCUUACCAAGGCGACGAUCUGUAGCGGGUCUGAGAGGAUGAUCCGCCACACUGGAACUGAGACACGGUCCAGACUCCUACGGGAGGCAGCAGUGGGGAAUUUUGGGGCAAUGGGCGAAAGCCUGAUCCAGCCAUGCCGCGUGAGUGAAGAAGGCCUCGGUUGUAAGACUCUUCGUCCCGGG